rnacentral:rRNA from 1 species
CCCUUAGAUGUUCGGGGCUGCACGUGCGCUACACUGAAGGAAUCAACGUGUAUUUGCCCUUGCCCGAAAGGGUUGGGUAACCCGUUGAACCUCCUUCGUGCUAGGGAUUGGGGCUUGUAAUUAUUCCCCAUGAACGAGGAAUUCCCAGUAAGCGCGAGUCAUAAGCUCGCGUUGAUUACGUCCCUGCCCUUUGUACACACCGCCCGUCGCUACUACCGAUUGAAUGGUUUAGUGAGAUCCUCGGAUUGGUCCCGCCACGGGAGGAAACUUUCGAGGCGGAGUGCCGAGAAGACGAUCAAACUUGAUCAUUUAGAGGAAGUAAAAGUCGUAACA